rnacentral:misc_RNA from 1 species
UACGUAGGUGGCAAGCGUUAACCGGAAUUAUUGGGCGUAAAGCGCGCGCAGGCGGCCUCAUAAGUCAGAUGUGAAAGCCCCCGGCUCAACCGGGGAAGGCCAUUGGAAACUGGGAGGCUUGAGUAUAGGAGAGAAGAGCGGAAUUCCACGUGUAGCGGUGAAAUGCGUAGAGAUGUGGAGGAACACCAGUGGCGAAGGCGACUCUGUGGCCUAUAACUGACGCUGAGGCGCGAAAGCUUGGGGAGCAAACAGG